rnacentral:rRNA from 1 species
CGGCGGACGGGUGAGUAACACGUGGAUAACCUACCUAUAAGACUGGGAUAACUUCGGGAAACCGGAGCUAAUACCGGAUAAUAUUUUGAACCGCAUGGUUCAAAAGUGAAAGACGGUCUUGCUGUCACUUAUAGAUGGAUCCGCGCUGCAUUAGCUAGUUGGUAAGGUAACGGCUUACCAAGGCAACGAUGCAUAGCCGACCUGAGAGGGUGAUCGGCCACACUGGAACUGAGACACGGUCCAGACUCCUACGGGAGGCAGCAGUAGGGAAUCUUCCGCAAUGGGCGAAAGCCUGACGGAGCAACGCCGCGUGAGUGAUGAAGGUCUUCGGAUCGUAAAACUCUGUUAUUAGGGAAGAACAUAUGUGUAAGUAACUGUGCACAUCUUGACGGUACCUAAUCAGAAAGCCACGGCUAACUACGUGCCAGCAGCCGCGGUAAUACGUAGGUGGCAAGCGUUAUCCGGAAUUAUUGGGCGUAAAGCGCGCGUAGGCGGUUUUUUAAGUUUGAUGUGAAAGCCCACGGUUCAACCGUGGAGGGUCAUUGGAAACUGGAAAACUUGAGUGCAGAAGAGGAAAGUGGAAUUCCAUGUGUAGCGGUGAAAUGCGCAGAGAUAUGGAGGAACACCAGUGGCGAAGGCGACUUUCUGGUCUGUAACUGACGCUGAUGUGCGAAAGCGUGGGGAUCAAACAGGAUUAGAUACCCUGGUAGUCCACGCCGUAAACGAUGAGUGCUAAGUGUUAGGGGGUUUCCGCCCCUUAGUGCUGCAGCUAACGCAUUAAGCACUCCGCCUGGGGAGUACGACCGCAAGGUUGAAACUCAAAGGAAUUGACGGGGACCCGCACAAGCGGUGGAGCAUGUGGUUUAAUUCGAAGCAACGCGAAGAACCUUACCAAAUCUUGACAUCCUUUGACAACUCUAGAGAUAGAGCCUUCCCCUUCGGGGGACAAAGUGACAGGUGGUGCAUGGUUGUCGUCAGCUCGUGUCGUGAGAUGUUGGGUUAAGUCCCGCAACGAGCGCAACCCUUAAGCUUAGUUGCCAUCAUUAAGUUGGGCACUCUAAGUUGACUGCCGGUGACAAACCGGAGGAAGGUGGGGAUGACGUCAAAUCAUCAUGCCCCUUAUGAUUUGGGCUACACACGUGCUACAAUGGACAAUACAAAGGGCAGCGAAACCGCGAGGUCAAGCAAAUCCCAUAAAGUUGUUCUCAGUUCGGAUUGUAGUCUGCAACUCGACUACAUGAAGCUGGAAUCGCUAGUAAUCGUAGAUCAGCAUGCUACGGUGAAUACGUUCCCGGGUCUUGUACACACCGCCCGUCACACC